rnacentral:lncRNA from 1 species
GGACAGCCAUCGGAGCGCCGCCGUCGGACUAAGGCGCCACCCUUCCCUCCUGUCCUUCCCUCCUCGCCCUCCAGUUCUAUCUCUCACCUCCCUCUCUCUCUCUCUCCUUCGCAGCAAGCCAUGGCUGCCGGGCCUCCAUGCCUCCACGAGCUCGCCGCCGGCCUGUGACACAAAGAGAGGGAGACGACGAGAGGAGGUCGAGGCCAAUGCGGGAGAUGCUCCUGCUGACACGCACAUGCAGAAUCGCGAUGGCGGGCGUCGGUGAAGAUUCUGACGAAUGACGCGGGCAUGACGACGGGAGUUUUGAGAUCUGGGCAGCGCCAUUGUUGUGGUGCUGACACGCACAUGCAGGAUCGCGACGGCGGGUUUCGGUGAAGGUUCUGAAUGAUGCGGGCGUGACAGCGGCAGUUCUGAGAUCCAUGGGCGGCGCCAUUAUUGUGCCGGAGUUGCUACGUCCUGCUCGAGAGAGAAGAGAGGGUGAGAAGAGAGAGAGGAGACCGGGGAGAAGCGCGGGAAGGAGCUGGCUCACCAGCGGGGUGCUACUGCAGAUCGCCGGCGGGAGGGUUGGCUCGACCCAUUGGGCAUUGGGUUCGCUGCGGGGGAAAAGGGCCCUUGAGAGCUGCCUCCUUCAUGGACGAGGGUGCGAGGAGGCGCUCGAUCAACUCACUCAGGUUCGAGCUGCGGGAGAGGGGCGCCUGCUCGUGCCUGCUUCUUGGACGAGGGAGCGAGGAGGCGCUCGCGCUCGAGCACGGCGGGCGAUCUGUG